rnacentral:rRNA from 1 species
UACAGAGGUCCCGAGCGUUGUUCGGAUUCAUUGGGCGUAAAGGGUGCGUAGGCGGCGGGGCAAGUCUGAUGUGAAAUCCCGGGGCUCAACCCCGGAACUGCAUUGGAUACUGCCUUGCUUGAGUACUAGAGGGAACUGGAAUUUACGGUGUAGCAGUGAAAUGCGUAGAUAUCGUAAGGAAGGCCAGUGGCGAAGGCGAGUUCCUGGACAGUUACUGACGCUGAGGCACGAAGGCCAGGGGAGCAAACGGG